rnacentral:rRNA from 1 species
CGGACGGGUGAGUAAUGCCUAGGAAUCUGCCUGGUAGUGGGGGACAACGUUUCGAAAGGAACGCUAAUACCGCAUACGUCCUACGGGAGAAAGCAGGGGACCUUCGGGCCUUGCGCUAUCAGAUGAGCCUAGGUCGGAUUAGCUAGUUGGUGAGGUAAUGGCUCACCAAGGCGACGAUCCGUAACUGGUCUGAGAGGAUGAUCAGUCACACUGGAGCUGAGACACGGUCCAGACUCCUACGGGAGGCAGCAGAC